rnacentral:tRNA from 1 species
UCCCUGGUGGUCCAGUGGUUAGGACUCAGCACUUUCAUUGCCCGGGUUCCAGGUUCGACCCAUGGUCAGGAAA